AGCGAACGCUGGCGGCAGGCCUAACACAUGCAAGUCGAACGAAGUCUUCGGACUUAGUGGCGGACGGGUGAGUAACACGUGGGAACGUGCCUUUAGGUUCGGAAUAACCCAGGGAAACUUGUGCUAAUACCGAAUGUGCCCUUCGGGGGAAAGAUUUAUCGCCUUUAGAGCGGCCCGCGUCUGAUUAGCUAGUUGGUGAGGUAAAGGCUCACCAAGGCGACGAUCAGUAGCUGGUCUGAGAGGAUGAUCAGCCACAUUGGGACUGAGACACGGCCCAAACUCCUACGGGAGGCAGCAGUGGGGAAUCUUGCGCAAUGGGCGAAAGCCUGACGCAGCCAUGCCGCGUGAAUGAUGAAGGUCUUAGGAUUGUAAAAUUCUUUCACCGGGGACGAUAAUGACGGUACCCGGAGAAGAAGCCCCGGCUAACUUCGUGCCAGCAGCCGCCGUAACAC
rnacentral:rRNA from 1 species